rnacentral:rRNA from 1 species
UACGAAGGGGGCUAGCGUUGCUCGGAAUCACUGGCGUAAAGGGUGCGUAGGCGGGUCUUUAAGUCAGGGGUGAAAUCCUGGAGCUCAACUCCAGAACUGCCUUUGAUACUGAAGAUCUUGAGUUCGGGAGAGGUGAGUGGAACUGCGAGUGUAGAGGUGAAAAUUCGUAGAUAUUCGCAAGAACACCGGUGGCGAAGGCGGCUACCUGGACCGGUACUGACGCUGAGGCGCGAAAGCUAGGGUAGCAAACAG